UUCAAACUGAUAAAAAUUGAGCUUUAUGAAUAAAGUAGGAAUAAGUGGGGAUCCUCUUUCCCAGUUUCCUUCUGCAAAUAUCCUGUAGUAUACCCUAGGGUUUACAGCCUCAGGGUUCUACACAGCAGUACAGUAAGAAUAAUGCUGACGUUUCCAGCUCUAGGUGCUGUUCUUCCUCCUCUGCAAGGACCAGAGAAGACUUGGCAACAAAAACUGAAGGAAAUCAAACCAACAAACUUCAUUUCUUAUUGAAGUGCACCAGGUGUUUAUUCAUGUAUAUUUGGAGAAUGUAAAUCUCAGUCCAGAAUGUUCAAGCUGUACAUUACUCUAAAUAAACCAGAAAAUAAUUAUGAGCAUACA